UAGAUCAUUGUACAGAUAUAGAC
rnacentral:siRNA from 1 species